rnacentral:rRNA from 1 species
ACUCCUACGGGAGGCAGCAGUGGGGAAUUUUGGACAAUGGGCGCAAGCCUGAUCCAGCCAUGCCGCGUGCGGGACGAAGGCCUUCGGGUUGUAAACCGCUUUCAGCCGGAAAGAAAUCGCUGUUUCUAAUACAAGCAGUGGAUGACGUACCGGAAGAAGAAGCACCGGCUAACUACGUGCCAGCAGCCGCGGUAAUA